UACGGAGGGGGCUAGCGUUGUUCGGAAUUACUGGGCGUAAAGCGCACGUAGGCGGUUACUCAAGUCAGAGGUGAAAGCCCGGAGCUCAACUUCGGAAUUGCCUUUGAAACUAGGUGACUUGAACGUCGGAGAGGUGAGUGGAAUUCCGAGUGUAGAGGUGAAAUUCGUAGAUAUUCGGAAGAACACCAGUGGCGAAGGCGGCUCACUGGACGACUGUUGACGCUGAGGUGCGAAAGCGUGGGGAGCAAACAGG
rnacentral:rRNA from 1 species